GCCCCGGUGGCACAAUCGGUUAGCGCGCCGUACUUAUAAUGCGGAGGUUGUGAGUUCGAGCCUCACCCCGGGGCA
rnacentral:tRNA from 1 species